rnacentral:rRNA from 1 species
AAUCAACGCUGGCGGCGUGCCUCAGACAUGCAAGUCGAACGCGAAAGUCCCCUUCGGGGGACAAGUAGAGUGGCGCACGGGUGAGUAACACGUAGGUAAUCUACCUUCGGGUGGGGAAUAACAACCGGGAACGGUUGCUAAUACCGCAUAAUGCAGCGGCACCUAAUGGUGACAGUUGUUAAAGCGGGGGAUCGCAAGAUCUCGCGCCUGAAGAGGAGCCUGCGGCGGAUUAGCUAGNGGUAGGGUAAUGGCCUACCAAGGCGACGAUCCGUAGCCGGCCUGAGAGGGCGGUCGGCCACACUGACACUGACAUACGGGUCAGACUCCUACGGGAGGCAGCAGUCGGGAAUUUUGGGCAAUGGGCGAAAGCCUGACCCAGCAACGCCGCGUGAAGGAUGAAAUCCC